rnacentral:lncRNA from 12 species
AUGAUGUCAACAAGUAAAGCAGCAAAGACUAAGUUGGAUGUUCACUUACCAGUAGAUCAAACUGACACUAAUGACUGUCUCUCUCUGAUUACAGGCUCUCUGUCUCUGAUAGUGCUGCUCUCUGUUGCUGCUGUGGCUGGAUCUCUGUUGAUUGUGGUUGCAUUCGGGAUGUUUCUCACAUGCAGGAAGUGUAGAAAAACUGAUCAAAAAGUUCAGACUCCUGAAGAGAUCAUUUACAUUGAGCCAACAUUCAAGAACAGAAAAGUGCAUAAAACAGUAAGAUUUAUUCCAAAGAAUGUUGAAGAGGAAGCUCAAGUAGAGUAUGCACCAAUCACCAUGAGGAGAUGA